CCAGGACGAUCUCCGGCGCGCGGCGGGGAUGUGCCCUGAGCUGAUGUCCGUGCCCGUCGAGACCAUUACGGCUGCGCUGCGGUUCCUUACCGACGAGGCUGGAGUGUCCGCCGAGGAGCUGCCGCGCAUUCUGAGGCGACGCCCACGCCUGCUCGUGUCCUCCACCGCGGGGCGUCUCCGGCCGACUCUCUACUUCCUCCGGGCGCUUGGCGUGCCCGACCUCCACCGCCGCGCCGACCUGCUCUCUUUCUCCGUGGAGGACAAGCUGCUCCCGCGGAUCGAGUUCCUCGAGUCGCUGGGCCUGCCCUUCCGCGCGGCGCGCUCAAUGGCACGCCGCUUCCCGGCGCUAUUCUACUACAGCAUUGACGGCAACAUGCGGCCUAAGGC
rnacentral:lncRNA from 1 species